UACGUAGGGGGCUAGCGUUGUCCGGAAUCAUUGGGCGUAAAGAGCGUGUAGGCGGUCCGGUAAGUCCGCUGUGAAAGUCGGGGGCUCAACCCUCGAAUGCCGGUGGAUACUGUCGGGCUAGAGUGCGGAAGAGGCGAGUGGAAUUCCUGGUGUAGCGGUGAAAUGCGUAGAUAUCAGGAGGAACACCGGUGGCGAAGGCGGGUCUCUGGGCCGAUACUGACGCUGAGGAGCGAAAGCGUGGGGAGCGAACAGG
rnacentral:rRNA from 1 species